GACGAACGCUGGCGGCGUGCCUAAUACAUGCAAGUCGAACGAGAGCGCCCGGUGCUUGCACUGGUCAAUCUAGUGGCGAACGGGUGAGUAACACGUGGGUAACCUGCCCAUCAGAGGGGGAUAACAUCCGGAAACGGAUGCUAAAACCGCAUAGGUCUUCGAACCGCAUGGUUUGAAGAGGAAAAGAGGCGCAAGCUUCUGCUGAUGGAUGGACCCGCGGUGCAUUAGCUAGUUGGUGAGGUAACGGCUCACCAAGGCCGUGAUGCAUAGCCGACCUGAGAGGGUGAUCGGCCACAUUGGGACUGAGACACGGCCCAAACUCCUACGGGAGGCAGCAGUAGGGAAUCUUCCGCAAUGGACGCAAGUCUGACGGAGCAACGCCGCGUGAGUGAAGAAGGUUUUCGGAUCGUAAAACUCUGUUGUUAGAGAAGAACAAGUGCUAGAGUAACUGUUAGCGACUUGACGGUAUCUAACCAGAAAGCCACGGCUAACUACGUG
rnacentral:rRNA from 1 species